GUUGAGAACAAAAUAAGUGUUGACUCUUCUGAUCAGCCAAGGGCAAAACUUGACUAUAUAACUGGUUGCUGCUGACCAGAGGUGUCAGCAGACAGUGAUGCUACUGGUGUGAGACAGCAAGCAAAGGAUGUGUCAAACAUCGCUAUGUAUUUCCUUAUUUCAAAAAGUGAAGGAGGCUGAAAAUCUCAGGACUGAAGGGAGGUUGCUGAGAUGUUUGUCUAAAUUGCCACCUUUGAACACAUGAAGCUUCUCAGCUCCUGACACCAGCACAACCUCGUCUGAUGCAGUCACUCAGUACAUAGCAAUGCGCAAUCCAAAGCUAGCAGUCAAUGGUGGCUCUGGAGUCAGUGUGUUGGGAUGGAGGAAGGAAAACGAAAGGAUGUAUGUGUCUCGUGCUUCCACAUCUUUUUGAGGAGUGGGAGCUGGCUGCUUCUGGGGUGCAAGGUGCCAUCUUCCUGAUGGGAGCUAGGAUUAGAUGAGAGCAGAUCUGCCAAGAGCUGUGUAGUUCAUCAACAAAGAAGAGGAGCUUUAUCAAAAGAUGUUUCUUACACUGUUUAUGUUAGAAAGAUGAGGUAAGCUUUCACUGAUGAAUGAAGCAACUUUUUGCCUCUGAAGAAGUGUAUUUUUUAAUUUAAUCUGCAUAUACAACGCUUCCAUAGCAUAAAACAGCACACAGAUUCAAAAGGGCAUGUAGCAGUGCCUGGAUGUGUAGAUGUUCUGCACCUGGGGUUUGGAGAAUGUUUGCUUGCUUAUUUGUUUGUUUAUUAAGUGAUACAUUUUGUUUAAACGACUGUGAAUAAGCUGCAAAUGUAUGUGUUAGGUCUGUCACACUGAACAAAGAGCAAUUAUCUACCAUAGU